AAGAAUGCAUAUAUACUAUACCCAAUUUCACUCACGUGUAUUCAUGAGCUAUGAUAAGCACAAAAAAUAAACUAUGGCAGUAACAACAAAUAACAGCAAAGAAGUAAUUGGAAUCAGUGCAACACACUACAUUUGCCGGCAUGGAGAUCCUAAUACUUUUGUACACUCAACUUUAUAUUCUUUCCGCGCCACCACCGUCAGCAUAGCCUUCAUUAUGCUUUUCUUCAAGGUUUCACUUGAAAAGUACGAGGGCACUGACACACACUACAGCUAAAAUUCUCAAUAAAUAAGCCCCGUUUCUAUUUAUAUCCAGUAAGUAAAACUUUGGGAUACCAGCAUUAAGUAUUUUCUACCUGGUAACAAAAAACACAUAAAACCAAAUCAGAGCCC
rnacentral:lncRNA from 1 species